rnacentral:rRNA from 1 species
CCUACGGGCGGCAGCAGUCGAGAAUCAUUCACAAUGGGGGAAACCCUGAUGGUGCGACGCCGCGUGGGGGAAUGAAGGUCUUCGGAUUGUAAACCCCUGUCAUGUGGGAGCAAAUUACAAAGCUAGUACCACAAGAGGAAUAGACGGCUAACUCUGUGCCAGCAGCCGCGGUAAUACAGCGGUCUCAAGCGUUGUUCGGAAUCCCUGGGCGUAAAGCGUUCGUAGGCUGUUUCGGAAGGCGUGUGUGAAAGGCGCGGGCUCAACCCUCGGAGGGCACAUGAUACGGGGAGACUAGAGUGAUGGAGGGGGAACCGGAAUGCGCGGUGUAGCAGUGAAAUGCGUAGAUAUCG